ACGGUAUAUGUCUUUCGGGACAUAGAGAGUGGCGAACGGGUGCGUAACGCGUAUGCAACCUACCUUGUACAGGGGAAUAGCCCGGAGAAAUUCGGAUUAAUGCCCCAUGGUAUCACCAGAUGGCAUCUGAAGGUGAUUAAAGAUUUAUCGGUACAAGAUGGGCAUGCGUGACAUUAGUUAGUUGGCGGGGUAACGGCCCACCAAGACUAUGAUGUCUAGGGGUUCUGAGAGGAUGAUCCCCCACACUGGUACUGAGAUACGGACCAGACUCCUACGGGAGGCAGCAGUAGGGAAUAUUGGUCAAUGGGCGACAGCCUGAACCCGCCAUGCCGCGUGCAGGAUGACCGCCUUCUGGGUUGUAAACUGCUUUUAUACGGGAAGAAAACACCUUUGCAAACGGAAUUGCCGGCACACAUGAAUAAACACC
rnacentral:rRNA from 1 species